AGUGAACGCUGGCGGUAGGCCUAACACAUGCAAGUCGAACGGCAACACAGUAAGAGCUGGCUCCUACGGUUGGCGAGUGGCGGACGGGUGAGGAAUACUUCGGAAUCUACUUUUGCGUGGGGGAUGACGUAGGGAAAUUUACGCUAAUACGGCACACGACCUGCGGGUGAAAGCAGGGGAUCUUCGGAUCUUGCGCGAUCGAAUGAGCCGAUGCCGGAUUAGCUAGUUGGUGGGGUAAAGGCCCAGCAAGGCGUCGAUCCGUAGCUGGUCUGAGAGGAUGAUCAGCCACAUUGGAACUGAGACACGGUCCAGGCUCCUACGGGAGGCCGCAGUGGGCAAUAUUGGACAAUGGGGGGAAGCCUGAUCCAGUCAUAGCGAGUGGGUGAAGAAGGCCUUCGGGUUGUGAAGCCGUUUUGUUGGGAAAGAAAAGCAGCAGGUUAAUACCCCGCUGUUCUGACGGUACCCAAAGAAUAAGCACCGGCUAACUUCGUG
rnacentral:rRNA from 1 species